UACGUAGGGUGCAAGCGUUAAUCGGAAUUACUGGGCGUAAAGAGCUCGUAGGUGGUUUGUCGCGUCGGGAGUGAAAACACCGGGCUUAACUCGGUGCUUGCUUUCGAUACGGGCAGACUAGAGGCAUGCAGGGGAGAACGGAAUUCCUGGUGUAGCGGUGAAAUGCGCAGAUAUCAGGAGGAACACCGGUGGCGAAGGCGGUUCUCUGGGCAUGUCCUGACGCUGAGGAGCGAAAGUGUGGGGAGCGAACAGG
rnacentral:rRNA from 1 species